AGUGAACGCUGGCGGUGGGCCUAACACAUGCAAGUCGAACGGAAACACCGUACGAGCUUGCUCUUACGGGUGGCGAAUCGCGGACGGGUGAGGAGUGUAUCGGGCUCUACUCUUUCGUGUGGGUUAACGAAAGGAGGCCUAAGACCAUACCGCAUACGCUCUACGGGUGAGGGGAGGGGAUAUUUGGACCUGGCGGGAUUGGAUGCGCGGAUGUCGAAUUUGUUAGUGGGCGGGGUAAAGGCCAACCAGGGCGACGAUCCGUGGCUGGUGGGUGAGAAUGAUCAGCCACACUGGAACUGAGACACGGUCCAGACUCCUACGGGAGGCAGCAGUGGGGAAUAUUGGACAAUGGGCGCAAGCCUGAUCCAGCCAGACCGCGUGGGUGAAGAAGGCCUUCGGGUUGUAAAGCCCUUUUGUUGGGAAAGAAAAGCAGCAGGUUAAUACCCCGCUGUUCUGACGGUACCCAAAGAAUAAGCACCGGCUAACUUCGUG
rnacentral:rRNA from 1 species